rnacentral:rRNA from 1 species
UACGGGGGGGCAAACGUUGUUCGGAAUUACUGGGCGUAAAGGGCUCGUAGGCGGCCAACUAAGUCGGAUGUGAAAUCCCCAGGCUCAACCUGGGAACUGCAUCCGAUACUGGAUGGCUUGAAUCCGGGAGAGGGAUGCAGAAUUCCAGGUGUAGCGGUGAAAUGCGUAGAUAUCUGGAGGAAUACCGGUGGCGAAGGCGGCAUCCUGGACCGGCAUUGACGCUGAGGAGCGAAAGCCAGGGAGCAAAGCGG